rnacentral:lncRNA from 1 species
UCAUGCAUUCACCAAUAGAGUUUGGUUGCACUUGCCAGAGUUAGCAAAUUCAAGUGGCACUAUUGCAAUGUAUAUUUGGUUUUGGCUUUUAGUUAAAUUCCAUCUUAUUUCAUUUUUUACCUAAAAGUUAGGAAACUUUAUUGUCACACAUUAUUUUUGCGGAAAGUGCUAUAAGAAAGAGAAACUUGUCAAAUUUUUGAAUAAAGAUCAAAUUUUAGCAGUCAUUGUUUAGUGGUGCAUUAUUUCUUGCAUUUGUGUGGUCUAGGUUUGAUAUUUUUCUGUUAGGAUAGUGAUUCUCUAAAGUUUGGUGCUGUCAUCAGGAUCUUUAUCAUUCCUAUCUUUAAACUUCACCUCUUCUACUUAGUGAACCCAUAUAGCUAUAGUAGAAAAGGCUGGGACCUUCAUGCUUUUCUUCCUAUCUUAACUUGUGGACUGGAAUCUAAUAAUUGACAAGUGCUUGUCUAUCCUUCUUUGUGGAAAAUCAUUUUUUUGUGACCCUUGAUAAAGCCACCUUCUUAAUCCCUCAGCAUGCUAUAAUGACAAAAUUGUAACAAGCCUCUCACAAGCCCAUCCUAUUGCAGGCUGCAUGAGUUGUCAUUGCCAAUUCACUGAUUCUUUUUGCAUAACACUUCAUUUAUAUUACUAGGUCUUCUUUUGUUUAUCCUUAACCUUCAUGGCACACCUAAGUUAAACUCCU